GAGAUGGAUUGGUGCCUUCGGGAACUGUGAGACAGGUGCUGCAUGGCUGUCGUCAGCUCGUGUUGUGAAAUGUUGGGUUAAGUCCCGCAACGAGCGCAACCCUUAUCCUUUGUUGCCAGCGGUUAGGCCGGGAACUCAAAGGAGACUGCCAGUGAUAAACUGGAGGAAGGUGGGGAUGACGUCAAGUCAUCAUGGCCCUUACGACCAGGGCUACACACGUGCUACAAUGGCAUAUACAAAGAGAAGCGACCUCGCGAGAGCAAGCGGACCUCAUAAAGUAUGUCGUAGUCCGGAUUGGAGUCUGCAACUCGACUCCAUGAAGUCGGAAUCGCUAGUAAUCGUAGAUCAGAAUGCUACGGUGAAUACGUUCCCGGGCCUUGUACACACCGCCCGUCACACCAUGGGAGUGGGUUGCAAAAGAAGUAGGUAGCUUAACCUUCGGGAGGGCGCUUACCACUUUGUGAUUCAUGAC
rnacentral:rRNA from 1 species